rnacentral:rRNA from 1 species
GAUGAACGCUGGCGGCGUGCCUAAUACAUGCAAGUCGAGCGAACAGACGAGGAGCUUGCUCCUCUGACGUUAGCGGCGGACGGGUGAGUAACACGUGGAUAACCUACCUAUAAGACUGGGAUAACUUCGGGAAACCGGAGCUAAUACCGGAUAAUAUAUUGAACCGCAUGGUUCAAUAGUGAAAGACGGUUUUGCUGUCACUUAUAGAUGGAUCCGCGCCGCAUUAGCUAGUUGGUAAGGUAACGGCUUACCAAGGCAACGAUGCGUAGCCGACCUGAGAGGGUGAUCGGCAACACUGGAACUGAGACACGGUCAAGACUCCUACGGGAGGAACAAGUAGGGAAACUUCCGCAAUGGGCGAAAGCCUGACGGAGAAACGCCGCGUGAGUGAUGAAGGUCUUCGGAUCGUAAAACUCUGUUAUUAGGGAAGAACAAAUGUGUAAGUAACUAUGCACGUCUUGACGGUACCUAAUCAGAAAGCAACGGCUAACUACGUG